UACGAAGGGUGCAAGCGUUACUCGGAAUUACUGGGCGUAAAGCGUGCGUAGGUGGUGAGUUAAGUCUGUCGUGAAAGCCCCGGGCUCAACCUGGGAAUGGCAGUGGAUACUGGACAGCUAGAGUGCGGUAGAGGGUAGUGGAAUUCCCGGUGUAGCAGUGAAAUGCGUAGAGAUCGGGAGGAACACCAGUGGCGAAGGCGGCUACCUGGACCAGCACUGACACUGAAGCACGAAAGCGUGGGGAGCAAACAGG
rnacentral:rRNA from 1 species